CACUCCUACGGGAGGCAGCAGUGGGGAAUAUUGCACAAUGGGCGCAAGCCUGAUGCAGCCAUGCCGCGUGUAUGAAGAAGGCCUCGGGUUGUAAAGUACUUCAGCAGUGAGGAAGGUGGGUAUGUUAAUAGCAUAUUCAUUUGACGUUAGCUGCAGAAGAAGCACCGGCUAACUCCGUGCCAGCAGCCGCGGUAAUACGGAGGGUGCGAGCGUUAAUCGGAAUUACUGGGCGUAAAGCGCAUGCAGGUGGUUUGUUAAGUCAGAUGUGAAAGCCCGGGGCUCAACCUCGGAAUUGCAUUUGAAACUGGCAAACUAGAGUACUGUAGAGGGGGGUAGAAUUUCAGGUGUAGCGGUGAAAUGCGUAGAGAUCUGAAGGAAUACCGGUGGCGAAGGCGGCCCCCUGGACAGAUACUGACACUCAGAUGCGAAAGCGUGGGGAGCAAACAGGAUUAGAUACCCCGGUAG
rnacentral:rRNA from 1 species